CGGCGCCCCCUCCCUCCCAGAAGGCCUCGGGGCAGAGCGGUCCCACCCCCUGUGCCCAGAACGGAGCCCGCGUUUCCACAGAGCUGGAACUCCCGGCUCGGGGUCUCUUCCCUCCGCCGUCACGGAACUGCCCCGGAGCCCGAGGGGAGGGCGGCCUCACUGAGGCUGCCGGCUCUGGAGGGGCCCCGGCGGCCGAAGCCGCGACAGUCGUGCGGACGGCGGGCCGGUUGUUUCAACAAGCAACUUAAAGACAAAGUGGAAAAACAAGGAGGUUUGUGCCUGAGACCAUGUUGAUGCGAAACUAGGGGUGGCCACCUUGUCCCAGGUUUUCAAAGCAGUUGUCUAAACACAAGACGUACACUUCUUGGAUCCUAAGUCUCAGAUUUACCUGACGGCCACCACUCACAGCUCCCGCAGAGCCCAGAGAUUUCUCCUGGAAGGAAAGGUUCUGGAAAAUCAGAGGGAUAAAUAAAGGAUGCAGCUGAUUCCCGCCUUGUGCUGACGCCCAAGAGGGUGAGGAGAUACGCGGGCCUCUCACUGUUGUGGCCUCUCCCGUUGCAGAGCACAGGCUCCGGACGCGCAGGCUCAGCGGCCAUGGCUCACAGGCCCAGCCGCUCCACGGCAUGUGGGAUCUUCCCGGACUGGGGCACAAACCCGUGUCCCCUGCAUCGGCAAGCGCACUCUCAACCACUGCGCCACCAGGGAAGCUCCAGAAAAUAUUUUUUAAAUGACUGAUAAUUUCCUCAAAUGAAUGUCUCACACCAAAAACACAAUGUGGGAACUCAGACAAAAAUGUGAAUAGUAAAGAAAACUACUGACUAAUAUCUCUCCAGAACUUAGAUGCAAAACUCCUCAAAAAAAAUUAACGAAUUGAAUCCAAUAAUGUUUUGACAGAAUUGUAUACCAUGAAUGAGAAGGAUUUAUCCCAGGUAUGCAAGGCCUGUUCCACAUUCUAAAAUCAAAUAAUUACAGCCAUCAUAUUAACAACCUAAAGAAGAAAACUAUAUUAUCAUAUCAAUAGAUGCAGAAGACUUUUUUAAAAAAUCCAACACUCGUUCUUCAUGAAAACUCUCAGUAAAAUAGAAAUAAACAGGAGUUUUCUCAAGUUGAUAACAAAAAUCUACAAAAAUUUUCACCUUACAUUGUGCUUAGUGGUAAGAAAUAUGAAACUUUCCCACUAAAUUCAGUUAAAAAUCAAGGAUGUCCCUUGCUCAUGCAAUAAGGCAAGAAAAUAAAUAAAAUACAGAUUGGGUAGGAAAAAACAAGAAAAGCAGCUCAGUUAAAAAGUGGACCAAAAAAAAAAGUGGACCAACACAAUUUACAGCCACCUCACCAGAGAAUACAGACACUUUGCAUGUGUGCAAGAUGUGGUCCUUUCACACACAUACGUAUAUCAAUUCUUCUUCGGAUCCUUUUCCCAGUACGUGGGCCUCUCACUGCUGUGGCCUCCCUCGCUACGGAGCACAGGCUCUGGAGACGCAGACCCAGCGGCCAUGGCCCACGGGCCCAAACGCUCCACGGCACGCGGCACCCUCCCGGACCGGGGCACGAACUCUUGUCCCCCGCAUCGGCAGGCCGACCACCAACCACUGCGCCAACAGGGAAGCCUGCCGUAUUACACUAGCUAAGACAUGGAAGCAACCAAAAUGACCAUCAACAGAUGAAUGGAUAAAAAAGAAGUGGUCCAUGUACACAAUAGAAUAUUAGCCAUGGAAAACAAUGAAACGCUGCUCUUUGAGGAACCAUAGAUGAGCCUAGAGAUAAUCACAGAACAUGAGAAAUUAAAAAAGGCAUGGAAAAAUGCUGAACAUUAGGAAUUAUUAAAGCCAUGCAAAUCCAAAUUACAAAAACCUAUCAGCUCACAACAGUCAGAAUGGCCAUCAGCAAAACUUCUGCAAACAAUAAAUGCUGAAGGGGUUGUGGAGAAAUGAGUACCCUCGGUUCUAAGUGGGACGUGGCAAGAGCCACUAAUGAAAACACAACGGAGAUGCCUUGAAAAGAAAUUUUAGAAAGCAUGGAAAAAUACUGAACAUUAAGAAUUAUUAAAGACAUGCAAAUUACAAAAACCUAUCAGCUCACACCAAUCAGAAUGGCCAUCAGCAAAAAUUCUGCAAACAAUAAAUGCUGAAGGGGUUGUGGAGAAAUGCAUACCUUGGGACGUGGUAAGAGCCACUAAUGAAAACAGAAUGGAAGUGUCUUGAAAAGGUAAACACUGAACUACCAUUCAUUCAAGCAUACCCACUGCUGGGCCUAUCGCCGGAAAGGAUGAGAAUCAAAAAGACACAGGCUGGCAAUCCUGCACUCCAGCAAUAUUUACCAUAGCCAACACUUGGAAGCCAUGAAAAUGUCCAUCAACAGAGGAAUGCACAAAGAAGAAGUGGUCCAUGUACACAAUGGAAUAUUACUCCAAUAAAAAAUAUAAAUUCAAUUUAAAAAACAAACAUAAGUAAGGAGACAUCAGCUUUUGGGGGGUUAUGCGGACACAUUCCACUCUAAUUUAGAACCGAGGAACACCACUGGCAGGAAGGUCUGUUUCCCUAGUUACCAGAGUGGGGAACGCAGAAAUGCUGCCGCCCUCUGGCCGUUACCUGCAACAGCAACUUUAAAACCUGUGCUAAUGAUCACUUCAUAUGCACAACUACUGGAGGACAGUAAAUGAAACCUGCCCUCAAAAUGUCCUGAAGGAGAUAAUGGCCAAAAUACUUCAAAAUGUGGCACAGACUUCAAGAAAACAAUUUGGAGAGGUAAGCUGUACUCACAGUUAGAAGAAGAAAAGGACAUGCCUGAAAGCUCAAUUUGAAGGGAUUAUGAGACACAUGCAAAUCCAACCACAAAGAGGUACCAGCUCACACCACUCAGAAUAACCAUCAGCAAAAAAUUACAAACAAAAAAUGCUGAGGGGUUGGGGAGAAGUGCAUACCGUCAACUUUAAGUGGGACGCAACCUGCUAAGAGCCACUAAUGAGAAGAGAAUGGAGGUGCCUUUACCAGGUAAACAUUGAGCUACCAUAUGAUCCAGCAGGCCCACUCCAUGGCCUAUAACCUAAGAAGACAGAGUUGGAAAGACACAGGCAGGCAAAUCUGCAUGGCAGCAGUAUUACAAUAGCCAAGGCAUGGAAGCAACCAAAAAGUCCAUCAACAGAUGAGCGGACAAAGAAGAACUGGUACAUGUAGAGAUGGAAUAUUAGCCAAGGAGAAAAAUGACACAAUGUCAUUUGCAGCACCGUAGAUGAGUCUGGAGGUAAUCACGAAACUGGUAGUAAGUCAGAAAGCGAAAGACACGUAUCCUAUGAUCUCACUUAUAGGUGUUACCUAAAAAUUGAUACCAGUGAAGAUAUUUCCACAGAGAAAGGCAAUCACAAGAUUCAAUAAACAAACUAAUGGUUCACCAAUGGAAAGGUGUGAGGAUUGGAUACAUUAGGAUAUUGGGGUUAACAGAGAUAUACAAACACAUGUGAAAUAUAUAAUCACCAAACACGUACGGAAUACCAAGAGAAGACUACUCAACAUCCUGUCAUAACCUACAUGGGAAAAGGAUCCCAGGAAGAAUAGACAUGUAUAUGUGUAAAAGAACCACAUCUUACACACAAGGAACAAAGAAACCAUUGUAAUCAAACUUCCUGUGAUAAAAAAUAAAAAUUAAAUUAAAAACGAACAAGAAUCAGUGAGACAUAAACUUAAGGGGCUUUUUCCUGGCACAUUCCAUUCUAAUUUACAACCUAGAACACGACUUCCACUAAGGCUUUGUUGCCCUAGUAACCAGAUUUGGUAAGGAGAAAUGCUGCCGCCUUGUGGCCGUUUCACACAACAGCAGCUUUAAUCCCAGCACUAAUAGUCACUUAAUAUUCAAAAUAAUUGCAGGCCUGUAAAUGACACCUGCCCUCAAAACAAAUCCUGAGGUUGUAAAUCGACCAAGAAAUUCAAAAGACGUCCACAUUUCAAGAAUACAAUAUCAAGAGGCAUAUUUUAAGCACAGUUUGUCUUUUCCUUCUUCAUUUUUUUUUUAAAAGAGGGUAUGAAGAAAUGCUGAACAUCAGGAAUUAAUAAAGCCAUGCAAAUCCAAUCUACAGAAACGUUCACCUCACAGCCAUCAGAAUGAUCAUCAGCAAAAAGUUUACAAAGGACAGGGCUUCCCUGGUGGCGCAGUGGCUGAGAGUCUGCCUGCCGAUGCAGGGGACACGGGUUCAUGCCCCGGUCUGGGAAGAUCCCACAUGCCGUGGAGCGGCUGGGCCUGUGAGCCAUGGCCGCUGAGCCUGCACGUCCGGAGCCUGUGCUCCGCAACGGGAGAGGCCACAACAGUGAGAGGCCCGCGUAUCGCGCAAAAAAAAAAAAAGUCUACAAAGAAUAAAUGCUGAAGGGGUUUUAGAGAACUGUGUACCCUCUAGCUUCUGGAGGGGUAACUGGUAACAGCCAGUAGUGAGAACAUAAUGGAGGUGGGUUUAAUGGUAAAAAAUUGAGCUACCAUGUGAUCUGGUAGGCCCUUUGAUGCGCCUAUCACCUGAGCAGACCAGAAUCAAAAAGACACAGGCUGGCAAUCCUGCACUGCAGCAACAUUUAACAUAGCUAAGACUUGGAAGAAACCAAAAUGUCCAUCAGCAGAAAAAUGCACAACGAAUAAGUUGUCCACGUACACAUGGAAUAUUAGCUAUGGAAAAGAAUGAAACAGUGCCGUUUGCACCAUCAUAGAAGGACCUACAGAUAAACACCAAAUUUGAAGUAAGGAAGAAACCGAAAAACAGAUAUCCUAUGAUAUCACUUAUAGGUGUUACCUAAAAGUUGAUACCCAUGAAAUUAUUUCCAAGAGAAGGGCACGCAUGGAUUCAGCAAACCAAAUUAUGUUUAACUAAAUGGAAAAGUGUAAGGUAUGGGUGAAUUAGGAUAUGGGGGCUAACAGACAUGUACUAAUACAAAUGAAAUAUAUAAUCACAAAAUACCUAUGGAAUACCAAGAAAGGUCUACUCAACACUCUGUAAUAACCUACACAGGAAAGGAUCCAAAGAUGGAUAGAUCGAUACAUAGAUAUAAUGAAUCAGAUUCUGUACACCUAAAACAAACAUUAUAAUCAAAUUUGCUCUGAUAAUAAAUUUAAAAAACAAACAAUAGUAAGGAGAUAUAAGCUCUUGGGGGUUUGCCCUGGCACGUUCCACUCUAACUAGCAGCCUACUAACACGAUUUCCAGGAAGGCUCUGUUGCCCAAAAACCCAGAGUUGGAAAUGUAGAAAUGCUGCCGCCUUGUGGCCGCCUUGUGGCGGCUUUAAACCCGCAGCGAACAGUCACUUAACAUUCACAAGGACUCAGGGCUGUAAAGCACCUCUGCCCUCAAAAAAAUGUCCUGAGAGAGAGGGGGGGGAAA